ACGGAGGGUGCAAGCGUUGCUCGGAAUUAUUGGGCGUAAAGGGUAGGUAGGUGGUGUCGCUUGUCUUGGGUGAAAUCCCUGGGCUUAACUCAGGAAGUGCCUUGGAAACGGCGACACUAGAGUACUGGAGAGGAUCGUGGAAUUCCCGGUGUAGCGGUGAAAUGCGUAGAGAUCGGGAGGAACACCAGAGGCGAAAGCGGCGAUCUGGACAGUUACUGACACUCAACUACGAAAGCGUGGGGAGCAAACAGGA
rnacentral:rRNA from 1 species